GUUGCUGGACAACUGUGUCCAGUAGCUAUUUACUUACUGGUGCCAUUCCACCUAGGCGCUCAACAGGAAAAGUUUAGGAUGCCGCCGUAGUUGACCUCUCACCCGGAUGAGCAUCUGACCUCGCCGCCAUGGUCAAGGGGCCUCUCACGGGUAUACCAGUUUUUAUUGUCUUGAUGCUCUGUUUAUACUGAUAUAUGUUUAUUGAGCAGGUUAAAAAAGGAGAAGCCUGACUUUUAUUUUGUGUUGUUGGUGGUUUGUUCAAAAGGAAGAUAUGAUAUCUAGGCUGUUGCCGGGAGUUAGCACCUACCUCGCAGCCGAGAAGAGCAAGGUAAUUCAUUACCUAGUGAUUAAGCACGAAUCCAUCUAGCAGGAAGUGGGCAAGUGCCUUCCCAUGAUUCAUUAAGAUUUCUAGGAAAAAGUGCACGUUUUGGUCUAUCCGCUAUGAUACAGGUCCGAGGAGUGGUAGGAAAGUAUGAUAUUGGGUCUAAUGGUCUGGAUGGAACAGCUGGAUUUAUUUCAUAACUUUGGAGGGAAGAGCAGUAGCUUCUUUGAAUGCAAAGAUGAUGUCAGAUGCGAUGUGGAUGACAAGGCUCUAACCUACACCUGUUCCACCUGUAAUGGAGGUUGAGAACCCAAUUUGCAACUAUAGUCUUCUAAAGGAGUUUCUGGGCGCUUGUUUAUGUCAGCGGAGGCCGUUCACAUAUACCUAUGGAAACUUAAGAAAGAAGUAAUGCAUGCUACUCCGGUAAAAGAUAUGUCACCUUGAUCUCAACGGAAUGUUCUUGUGUGUGUUUCGCGGAUCUGGAAGAACAAUGACUAAGAACAGUAUGUGUAUGAAUUGGGGUUCAUUUUUGUUGACCAACUACUGCCACUACAUAAUCUUCUAGAGAGGUUUGGUCGAGGUAUAUAUCUUGGCAUUCCAGAUGAGCACGGAAGAAAUAAAAUUCUAAUGAUGCUUACACAAAACUGCAAAAGCAGAUGGCCGAUUUGACCUGGUAAAGAUGGCACGAGCUAUACCAGGAUUUGUUUGAAACCAUGCGAUGUCAUGCUCGACAGAGGAUACAAAAAAGAUCAAUUAUUACUUAAUGGGUGCCAUAGAUGAAAGUUCUUUCAUCAGUUCAACAUCUCUGCAGCCUACCAGCAACUUGCUCUCAGGAUAAUCCAAAUAAGGUGUUUCAGUAAUAGAUACCAUUUCUUCCUCUUUUUUUUGAGAUUCUACCAUUUCUUCCUUAGUUCAGUAUCUGGGCCGCAUGGGCGUGAAGGCUUUUUUUUCAUCGGUUCAAUAUAUAUCUUUGCCACAUGCGUAUGAAAUCGAAUAGGCUACAGGCGUGAAAUUUUAAUUGUGUUGUAACAACGCAUUAUUACUACCUUCAAAGAAAUAACUUGGUGUUUCGAGUGAUUAUCUUUUUUGUGUGUAUCCACAGUUGGCAAUACAAGCAAUCUGAGUGAAAGAAUUCAUACCUCGAGGGUCUCAAAGAAUUGUUGUUGUGCGUGUAUCCCAGAUCUGGGAGAACAUGGAUCAAGAACAAAAUGUCUCUGAACUAGGGUUCAUUGUUGUGGAGAAACUGGAUGCACACUAAGGCUAGACUGCAUGGAAAAAUUCAAGAAGAAACUGAAGAAGGUCUCGAUCCACAGACUCAAAUCUUCCAUGAUUAUUGCUGCCCGACCCAAAUACAAGACACCACAUCACCGUACAAAAUAAGAAUUACUCAGAACACAAAAAUCAUUGAGGUUGUACCAGAACCUGAAAACUUUACUCUGUAUAAACAAAGUAGAGUAUCCCACACCUACAUGGUAGAGGUAGGUACUAACCUGAAAGGUUCUUUAUAGACAACCGAUGUAUAAUUAAGCAAUCUUAUGUAACGAUCCUUAAGGCGUAUGAUAACUACAACUUUAUAUAUAAUUAGCCAGCUUAGUUAGCAAUGUGGUGCCAGUCUAUUAGAUGUACCUCAAGACUAUCUUAUGUGAUGCUACUUAAAAUAGGUGCUCUUGCAGGCUUCUGAGAUUCAGCACCUAGAAGAAUUUUAUGUAUGCUUAUUUAGCUUAGUAGAAUUGUAGUACCAGUCUACUAAAUAUGCUUCCUCUAGGCUCUUCUCUUUUUUUUUAAGUGCUACAGACUUUGGCAUGUC